GACGAACCGAGCGAACGUUGUUCGGAAUCACUGGGCUUAAAGGGCGCGUAGGCGGGCUGUCAAGUCUGGGGUGAAAUGCUGCGGCUCAACCGUAGAACUGCCUUAGAUACUGACGGCCUCGAGGAAGGUAGGGGCAUGCGGAACUGUAGGUGGAGCGGUGAAAUGCGUUGAUAUCUACAGGAACUCCGGUGGCGAAAGCGGCGUGCUGGACCUUUUCUGACGCUGAGGCGCGAAAGCUAGGGGAGCAAACGGG
rnacentral:rRNA from 1 species